UACGUAGGGACCAAGCGUUGUUCGGAUUUACUGGGCGUAAAGGGCGCGUAGGCGGCAAUUCAAGUCAUCUGUGAAAUCUCCGGGCUUAACUCGGAACGGUCAGAUGAUACUGCUUUGCUCGAUUGCGGAAGGGGCAAUCGGAAUUCUUGGUGUAGCGGUGAAAUGCGUAGAUAUCAAGAGGAACACCUGAGGUGAAGACGGGUUGCUGGGCCGACACUGACGCUGAAGCGCGAAAGCCAGGGGAGCAAACGGG
rnacentral:rRNA from 1 species